GGAGGGGUGCGAGCUUUGGCUCGUGCUGCGCAAGAGUGAACUCACGUCUCAGUCCCACCCGGCAUCCUCAUCUUCUUCCCCUCCUCCCUAUAAUCCCUCCCGCUCUCCACUUCAACAAUCGCUUUAGUGCGCAGCCGCUCUGCCUCGCCCUCUAUCGCAGUUCCUCUUCGGAUCCUGUCUGGAGCCCGCGUCUCUCCCUUUCCCCAUUGGCUGCUCUCAGGUUAUUUUAGAGAUGAGUAAACUAAGGCCAACAGGAUGAAGUGACUUGCCCAGAGUCACAUGGUAGCGUCUGAGGUCGGACCGAAGAAUCUUCCUGACUCCAGGCCUACCCAUUGUGCCACUUAGAUGACCCCACAGAUAAUCCAAAUGAUAAAAACCACAUAAAUAUAGGAGAGGAGAUGGAAAAGGCAAGAGUUUCCAAACCGGGGGGUGGAGGAUGAGGAAUCACAAUCUUUUGCAGUUCUUGGAUGAGGAUGAAUAAAUGAGGAUAAUUAAAAUUUACAAACAAAGCUUGCUUUGUGAAAGUUUCUUUUAAGAACAUUCAAUCAACACAUUGGAUGCUUCCCAUUUGCCAGGUGCUGUGCUGAACACGAAUACAAAGAAAAAGCAAAAAUAGUCUAUCUCAAAAGCAUCUUUUUUCAGAGAUGAACAUAUCACCUGCUCUAAAACUUGAGGGUGUGGAGCUAAUGGAUCUGCUUUAUUUAGCCUGAAGUGUUCGGUAAAAAGGUGAUAAUAUUCUUUCUCAGCUGAGAAAGAGCAACAGUAGCUGUACCUAUGAUGAGGAAAUGUUACAGAGAUUGGCCUUGCAGCUGAGAUGCAUUGGAGAUGGACUCAAUAAUAGAGUGAUUCAAGAGGGUCUUCAAUUAGAAGAAGUUAGAGAUGCAGUGGCUCAUUUUGUCUUAUUUUUGCUUAGAAAAGCUCAUUUGGUUUUGAACUAUUUUUUGGCCAACCAUCCAAUGUAGAACAAAAUUUAAAUUUCAAGUUGUUCGUUUUCUUUCCACUUUCUGAGAUAUAUACAUUACCCUUGUUGAACCCCAAAAAUCUGGGGGAAAAGACCAUGCCUUAUUGACUUUCCUAGCUGCCUGGUUGGUUUGUACCGAUAGGUACAAAGAAGAGGGGCAGUAUGGUUGAAUGGUAUGAAUGCUGGAAAUGGAGUGAAAUCUCAGCUCAAAUUCUGUCUAUGAGACUGACCAUGAAACCCUGGGCAAGUCACUUAACUUCAUUGAAACUGUUUCUUUAUCAAUAAAAUUAGACUAAUUAUAAUGUUUGUACUACUU
rnacentral:lncRNA from 1 species